CGGCACGCCUUAUACAUGCAAGUCGAACGAAGUAGCAAUACUUAGUGGCAGACGGGUGAGUAACAUGUAGGUAUCUUCCCUUUGGUGAGGAAUAACACGAGGAAACUUGUGCUAAUACCUCAUAAGUCUUUACAGAGAAAGCUUUAUGCGCCGAAGGAUGAGCCUGCACUUGAUUAGUUUGUUGGUGGGGUAAAGGCUUACCAAGACUUUGAUCAAUAGCUGAUCUGAGAGGAUGAUCAGCCACAUUGGGACUGAGACACGGCCCAAACUCGUACGGGAGGCAGCAGUAGGGAAUAUUGCACAAUGGAGGAAACUCUGAUGCAGCGAUGCCGCGUGAGUGAAGAAGGCCCUUGGGUUGUAAAGCUCUUUCGUCGGGGAAGAAAAUGACUGUACCCGAAUAAGAAGGUCCGGCUAACUUCGUGCC
rnacentral:rRNA from 1 species